rfam:Triticum urartu cultivar G1812 contig1194828, whole genome shotgun sequence.
GGACUACUCCCUCCGUUCCAAAUUAGUUGACUUGAAUUUGUCUAAAUACGGAUGUAUCUAUAAUUGUUUAGUGUCUAGAUACAUCCGUGUGUAGAUAAAUAUAGGUCAAGUAAUUUGGAACGGAGGGAGUACGAG